CAACCUUUAAGAAAAAACAAAAGCAGAAAUUUCCACAAUCCUAGGACAUUAAAACUGAGGGCUGGCACUAAAUAUUACACAAGCACCUGAGAACUGCAGACUGGCAAUAAAGCUGUUUCUGAUUGAUUCAUAAAAAUGAAAUUACAAAAGAGGAAAAAUGAAUGGUAAGAGCCCUAUGCAGGAAUGGAAGAGGCAGAAAACAGCAUAGCCAGUAGAUAAACCAGGGCAUGUGCCAAGGUGUGAAAUUGUGAUGACAGAGCUGUGAGCAGCAUCAACAGAUGAGGGCAAGAUCCCUGAACUGGGAGGGAAGGCCUUGCAAUUUGUAUGGAAACACAGAGGGAAAGAAGAACAGGAAAGAAAUAAGUGUGUAGGAAGAAGUUGAAGUGAGUGACUAUUCUGCAAUCACAGUCUGCUGUUUUCUGUGUAAGAGUUUUGUGGAUGUGGCCAUCUGAUAACACCACAGUGCUUAGAAAAGAGUGCUAGCCUUACUUUUGC